CCCCGCGCCCCACCCACUUUGUGCCCGCCACUCCUUCCCAGCCCCUUUCCCGCGCUCUUUCCAGGGGGUAGGCCCCUUCCUCCCCGGCUCCACCCACACGGGGGUCCGUCUGUCUCCACACGCGGCCCCAUCCUGGCCCUUCAGUGGAUCGCGUCACCCACGGUGGUACUCCCAACCCAAGCUCUCCUUCCAUGAGGUCCAUCCGAAUCCGCCCACCGGGGACCCUAAGCUCCUCCUUCAAGGCCCCGCCCAUGCUCCUCCCUUUGCUCCGCCUCAGAACCUCCGGAUCCGCCUUCGCCUUCCUCCUCACUCUGCUCCUGGCUAGCUAGCCAGCUGCGGUACCAUCAAUCACCACCCAGUCCCUGAGGCUGACACCGGAAAGGCGGAGGGGAAUGACCCUAGGGACCCCACCCGCAACCACGCCCUUGCCGUCCCUCGGCUGAGUCAGCGUGGGAGACCAGCCCAAGUCCCGGGAAGCAUGCCUUCGCUUAGGACACGCGUGGCUUGAGCUGGAACCACAGCGCACGAGCCUCUGCCCAAGCGCGGCUGUCCCCGCCGCAGCUGUCUUCUGAGUUGGCGCAGCCUUCGGGACCACAGAGCUACGGUCCCUGGCCACUCAGGACAGGAGCGAACAUCAGGCCCCGGUGACAGUCGCGGUCCAGGGGAUCCGGUGUCUGGAGCCCUUCAUCUCCUCUAUUCAGGCUUCGGUGCUGUGCCAACAGGACAGCACGAAACUGAUUUCCACGCAGGACAGUUACCCGACUUGUAGCACGCUUCUUCCAUAUCCACUAAGUAGGAACGUCUCUGAUUUAAAAUUAAAGCCAUGCGGGCAAGCAAACAGAAGAUUCCAGUGUUGUGCGCUAUGGACUGAAGCAACCCAAAGGAAACCGCACAGAUUUCACCCUUAGCGGAUCCCGGCCGCAUAUCUCAGCAUGGUCCGCGGCAGACCUGGGUGACUUGUUUUCUCCGCUCUAGAAGGGCCUUCUUCAGGCUCAGAAAGAAAAGAAACAUGGUUCCUUGGCCUGUUUUUCUUUUUUGGAAUCACUAGAAAAAUUCUGGAGAAGCCAGAGUCAUAUCUGAGCUUUAUGGCUCCCUAUUCUCAUCCGGAGGACAUGCUUCUUGUUAACAGCGAACACGUGUGUGCACUGGCCUGAGCGUGUGGACCAUCAUCCUGACACCACGACUCCGGGCAGUGCUUCAAAGGGCUGGGAUGGCCAGAGGGUGGAGCCAGAGGAAGAUGGGUCCUGAAAGCAGAGGAGCCUAGCCCGAAGGGAUGAAGGGGCGUGGUUUAGGGACGAAGGGGCGUGGUUUGGGAGUACGUGCAAGUUGAAAGAGAACAGGUGCAAACUCUGACUAAGCAUCUCAGAUGAGGAAAACUCCCCGCCAAGAAGGGGACUAACUUCCAACAUCCGGUCUCAACGUAAUACCCGUUUAAAGUGCCUGAUUCUACAAAGUUUAUAUCAUUGGAGAGAGUAGUUUUUAGAUAACAUCGUAAUGGCAAAGGGUGGUGGAAUUUAUGCGGGGUACAACUAAUUCCAUUAGGACUAACUUUACAGGUGAGAGUGGAGGCCGGUUAAUAACAGAGUCCUGCUAGUGUAUUCUGACCUAGAUGAGUAGAUUAGAUUCCAGGAACCCUGGGACACCCACAACAUCGUAGCCCAGGGGCAGGCUUUGUUUGCUCUGCCUGUCCCCAGACAAUACCUGAAGACUUUGGUUGCUGACAUAGAGACACCCCCUGACCCCCACCCCCGUAUCUCUUGGCUUCUAACAAGCUCAUAAACAAGGUCUCUGUCUGUGCCCAGGAGUCCAGCGAAGAAUCACAGACCACUGUUCUUGCUGCCCUCCUGCCCUCCAGCAGGAACCCCACCCCCACCCAUUGCUGCCUCCUCUUGCUGGGAAGCUGGGCCAUAAGUUAAAACAGCUGAGAACUGGACUAUGACAGAGAGGUGAGGCAGACCUAAGAAAGGGAAAAUCUGCAGCCCACCCUCCCUGCCACCCUCUCCCCCAAAAAGGAGGGAGUUGGGUGGUGAAACUACUAGGCUCAAGAGAGUAGGGGAACACCGCCAGCCACAGAAUAGCAACAAACAUGUGAGUCCUGUGGUUCUGCAGAGAGCCAGCCCGCUAUGGCAGCUGCCACCCCAACACCCUGCUCUCUCAGAUAGGAGGGUGUCACAUUUUGACCUAGGUGAGCCCAGCCUGCCUUAUUAGUGACUGUGGACAGUUCCCAGCUCCAAGAGGGUGGAAGUCCAUAUAGUGAGUAGCAUGUUUAGUACCUACCCUUGAUGGUGACAUAUAAAUCUAAAUUGUAGGACUUAUCCUGGCUACACAUGCAAAUAAUCUCCUUGGGAGAAGGAGGCCCAAGGACUAAGAGUUGAAAGCUAUCCUUGGCUUUGUAUUAAGUUUGAAGCCAGCCUUAGCUAAUUGAAACGUCUUCUUAGGAAAAAAAAAUAAAAUCCCAGCCCAUACAACGGAGGUAGAGGCAAGCAGAUCUCUGAGUUGUAGGCCAGCCUGGUCUAUAUAGCAAGUUUCAAGACAGUCAGGACUGCAGAGUUUGACUCUGUCUCAACAUAAAACAAAAACUAAAUAAAUUAAUCUAUGUUCUAAUAAAGUGGAGAGGCUCAGAGUUGCCUUCCAUUAAUUUUGACACCAGCACCUCUCUGAUGCCCCUUGCGCCUUGUUAUUCUUUUUACUGUCUUGCAAGGCCACAAUGAGGGUAAGGAAUGGGAAGGGAAACUACUAACUUGUGCAAAGUGUGUGGAAGGAUGCAAGAAAAGUGACACUUGUUAGAAUGGGGUGUGAACCUCUAUACAAAAUCUUCACCCCAACAGAAGUGCCCGAGCAGAGCAAUAGAAAAGUCUACCUUGAAGAAACUCCAGCCACCCACACACAUGAACACAUCAGUCAAGAAGCCCCAGGACACCUUCCAAAGUCUGAGGGGAGCUCAUCCCUUGGACCAACAACUUGGUGGUGUCAAAGGGCUUUUUCUUUUCCUUUUUAAAGAUGGUCACAUGUAGCUGAUGGUGUCCUCGAGCUCUGGAGUAUGGGGUUACAGACACGAAUCGCCGGCCCUAUGGAUGAUGGGUGGCAGGGUAAACACCUCUAAUGGCUUCAAUACACAAUGUGUGCACAUGUAUGUUCUUACUUUGUUUGUAUCCUUAGACAAUUAUCUAAAACCCACAGCUGUGA